AUUGAACGCUGGCGGCAGGCUUAACACAUGCAAGUCGAGCGGCGAUGAGGUGCUUGCACCUUAUCUUAGCGGCGGACGGGUGAGUAAUGCUUAGGAAUCUGCCUAUUAGUGGGGGACAACAUUCCGAAAGGAAUGCUAAUACCGCAUACGCCCUACGGGGGAAAGCAGGGGAUCUUCGGACCUUGCGCUAAUAGAUGAGCCUAAGUCGGAUUAGCUAGUUGGUGGGGUAAAGGCCUACCAAGGCGACGAUCUGUAGCGGGUCUGAGAGGAUGGUCCGCCACAAUGGGACUGAGACACGGCCCAGAGUCCUACGGGAGGCAGCAGUGGGGAAUAUUGGACAAUGGGCGGAAGCCUGAUCCAGCCAUGCCGCGUGUGUGAAGAAGGCCUUUUGGUUGUAAAGCACUUUAAGCGAGGAGGAGGCUACCUGGAUUAAUACUCUAGGAUAGUGGACGUUACUCGCAGAAUAAGCACCGGCUAACUCUGUGCCAGCCGCCGCGGUAACAC
rnacentral:rRNA from 1 species